rnacentral:rRNA from 1 species
AGCAGCCGCGGUAAUUCCAGCUCCAAUAGCGUAUAUUAAAGUUGUUGCAGUUAAAAAGCUCGUAGUUGAAUUUCGGGAUCAAUACGUCGGUCGUGCUUUUGGGUACGUACUGGCGUUAUUGGUUUCUCUCUUCUGACGAACCAUGAUGUCAUUAAUUUGGUGUUAUGGGGAGUUAGGACUGUUACUUUGAAAAAAUUAGAGUGUUUAAAGCAGGCAUUAGCUUGAAUACAUUAGCAUGGAAUAAUGAAAUAGGACGUUUGAUCCUAUUUUGUUGGUUUCUAGGAUCGACGUAAUGAUUAAUAGGGAUAGUUGGGGGCAUUAGUAUUCAAUUGUCAGAGGUGAAAUUCUUGGAUUUAUUGAAGACUAACUACUGCGAAAGCAUUUGCCAAGGAUGUUUUCAUUAAUCAAGAACGAAAGUUAGGGGAUCGAAGACGAUCAGAUACCGUCGUAGUCUUAACCAUAAACUAUGCCGACUAGGGAUCGGAUGAUGUUAAUUUUUUAAUGUACUCAUUCGGCGCCU